rnacentral:rRNA from 1 species
CGGGUGAGUAACACGUGAGUGACCUGCCUUUUAGACUGGAACAACUUACCGAAAGGUGAGCUAAUGCCGGAUGAGUUAUAUAAGUGCAUGUUUAUAUAGGAAAAGUUGGGGAGACCUGACGCUGAAAGAUGGACUCGCGUCCCAUUAGCUAGUUGGUAGGGUAAUGGCCUACCAAGGCGACGAUGGGUAGCCGGCCUGAGAGGGUGGCCGGCCACACCUGGGACUGAGACACGGCCCAGACUCCUACGGGAGGCAGCAG